AAGGGAUUGCGUUGAAUUGAUGGGCGCUUGUGUGUUCAGCCUUCGGGUGCAUUGGCACAAGUGCUUUAUCCGCUGUGAGUUCUCGGGGGUCGAUUUUGGAUUCCUGGGGGCUGAGGGCUCCCCUUCAUGGGUGAGGACAGCGGAGUGACGACGCGAUACGACCCGUCUUGAAACACGGACCAAGGAGUCUAGCGCGGGUGCGAGUCGGAGGGUGCAAGCCCGUGGGCGAAGUGAAAGCGAGUGUAAAAACGAGCAGUUUGGGGCGGCAUAAGAUCGUUGAUCUUAAGACCGACCCAGAGCAGUUGCGCUGGGACCCGAAAGAUGGUGAACUAUGCCGGAGUAGGGCAAAGCCAGAGGAAACUCUGGUGGAGGCUCGUAGCGGUGCUGACGUGCAAAUCGCUCGUCGAACUUGGGUAUAGGGGCGAAAGACUAAUCGAACCAUCUAGUAGCUGGUUCCCUCCGAAGUUUCUCUCAGGAUAGCGGGCCGACAAGUUGUUUUGUGCGGUAAAGCGAAUGAUUAGCGCAAUCGGGGGCGUUUAGCCUUUGGGCGAUUCUCAAACUUUCAAUGCGCAAGGGUGCCGCUGCUUAAUUGAGCGGUACCGGUAAAAACGUCGGCCCUGUGGGCCACUUUUGGUAAGCAGAACUGGCGAUACGGGAUGAACCGUAAGCAAGGUUAAGGCGCCAAACUGCCCGCUUAUAGACCCCACAAAAGGUGUUGAUUCAUCGAGACAGCAGGACGGUGGCCAUGGAAGUCGGAAUCCGCCAAGGAGUGUGUAACAACUCACCUGCCGAAUGAAUUAGCCCUGAAAAUGGAUGGCGCUGAAGCGGGCGGCCGACACCUUGCCGUCUGAACAAGAAUUUCAGAUGAGUAGGAGGGCGUGGCGGCCGUGUCGAAGCGCGCGUGCAGACGCGUGUGGAACGGCCGCUAGUGCAGAUCUUGGUGGUAGUAGCAAGUAUUCAAGCGAGAUCCUUGAAGGGCGAAGUGGGGAAGGGUUUCACGCGAACAUUGAUUGGGCGUGAGUGAGUCGUUCCUAAGCCGAGUGGCAAUUGCUAAUUAACGGCGAAAGGGAAGCGGGUUGACAUUCCCGCACACGGAUGUGGAGGCGGCGACGCAUUAUUGGGGCGAACACGCUGGCGAUGGCGCUGGGCAGAGUUGUCUUUUCUGUUUGACCGCUUGCGCACGCAGUGUGGAAUCCGCUUGUCGGGAGAAACACGCGUGUACGGGCAGAGCGCUGGGGCUUUUUCAGCGUCCAGCUCGCCAUCGACGGCCCUUGAAACUUUGCCUGCUGGUUUAAGAUCCACGCCGUGGCGUACCGAUCACCGCAUCAGGUCCCCAAGGUGAACAGCCUCUGCUCAAUAUGAAAAAUGCAGGUAAGGGAAGUCGGCAAAUUAGACCCGUAACUUUGGGAAAAGGGUUGGCUCUAGUGCUGCGUGGGAGUGGUUGUCGGACGUUGGGGUUUUUAGCGUGGCGGCUUGGCGUGGGACCCCUUCGGGGGACCUGUUCCUGCUGCUACGCCGAUUGCACCACGGCCGACGACGCCCACAGC
rnacentral:rRNA from 1 species